rnacentral:rRNA from 1 species
AUGCGGAGCUCGCCGCAGUCAAGGGGUCUGACCGCUGCUGCCGCGAGACCUUCCUGCCCCGCCGAUGCGAGCAUCUCUCCCUUUCACCUGCCCUCGAAGCUACCCCUCUGGCUGCUGCAUGUACAGAGGCAUCACGCACUCCCCGUGGCUCGCCGGAAUCCCCCUCGAGGCAUUGCUGCAAGCAGGGGGCGCCGGUGGCCAUGGGCUGCAGUGAGGACGAUGGGCGCGCACCUUUUUAAUGGCCAGGUGUUGAUUUUUGCUGCGACAUUCGUCGGAUUUUGCUGGAACCAACGACAAGUUUUGCUGGAACCGGCCAUGGAAUUUUUGGCAACCGUUGUCCGAGGAAGCUACCACCAGCUUCUAAAAAAGCUUCAAAACAGAGGGGAAGAUGUGGGGCAGCCACCGCACAAACUGAAAAGCUUCAACCGGCUGCAAGAUAGCUACAACAGGUCUUAUGAGAAGCUUCAACCGAGGAACGACGAGAUGACUUGCGACGGCGGCUAG